GCACAUGCUUGGUUUUUGGCCAGUAAUGCGAUAAUCUCCAUUUAACCGAAUCUGAAAACAUUCUCAACCUUCUGUCUUGUCCUUCAUGUUCCGAGUGAUUACAUUUUUCCGAGUGAUUACAUUUUUCAGUAUAAAAUAAAUGAUACUAGAUCGAACUAAAAAUUGAUCUCCAAUACCAAUUUCUGAAUAGGCAUUAAUACAGAGAUGGACCAAACUUCUAUUUUUUGUGUUCUCGACUUCUUGUUUGCUGACUCUGAUGUCCUUUUAUUUUCCAGUGCAUAACAGAACUGAAGGAUUAUGCACCCGGUAUGCCAAUAAUUCUCAUGGGGACAAAGCUUGGUUGAAUAGCUGAAAAACGCGGCAUGUCACCAUUUUUCAGUUACUGAAGAGGAGAUAACGGUCGGUCACUACCCUAUAGCGAUGAACUCGGCAUUACACAAGUUACCGUGAGCCGAUCCCAGGUAGCCAACCCGCGUCCACCCAACAUAGAUGGCAUUCAGUUAUUAUUGACUGUAGAUGCAAGGACACUAUUACACUCAUCACUAUGUUUGAAAGUUUG